AUCCUUACAGAAUUGGCAGUGACAUAGAGCAGGCAGGGUUUUCAAACUAGAAGACUAUGUAGGUGUGGGGAAUGGCUGGAAGGUAUGAGUGUGUUUGUGUGUGUGUGUGUGAGUGAGUGAGUGAAGGUCCAGUGUAUAUAUGUAUGUCCUUAAUCAGUGUGUGCAUGGGUGAGGUGGUGUCCACGUGAAUGAGAAGGUUCUGGGAUUACAUAGCUCAGUUUGUUUCAGCCUGGGGUACAGCUGCUCAAGGCUCAGGCUCUGGAUCCCUAACACAUUGAGCAGCUCUGGACAGAGCUUUCUGAGGCAAAGUGCUCAGAGACUAGCCAGGUGGCUAGGCAAGUGAGUGACCACAUUAUACUGUAAGGCCGGAUGCAUAUCUAAAGAGGGAAGGGCAAAAGGUAUCUGGCUUUCAGAGAGGAGUAAGGGAAGGUGGGUAGAGAUGGGCCCAAGGAAGAGGUAAUUUUGGCAAGAGGUUGUUGGAAGAAUGGCAGAUUGACAGGCUGAAACAGGGUAAAGAUUACCCUAUUUGGGAGAUUUCCAUAGGCAGGAGUAUGUGAUAAGACCAAGGCGUGUCUGGCAGGAGGGUGGUGAAUUCAUCUAGGGUGUGUAUAGGAAGUCACAGGUGGGAUGGGAUGGGAUGGGAUGGGAUGUGGCCCGAUUAGGAUCUGUGUCCAGAUUUGUUCUCUGGGCGGCAUGCAGAAGCAAGUUGGCUGAGAGGAAGGAGGACAGAAUACCUCAGAACUAGCAUCCACACAGAGCUUGCCCUGGUAUCUACCUCCUCAGUGUCUACCUCAGUAACUGUGGACAGUUUUUCUGUGCCUCGCUUUCCUUGUCUGUAAAAUGGAGCCUGAGAGUGAUACAUUUCUGAGGUUGUUAGGGAGCUUGGGUAGGUUGACAAUUGAGAAAUGUGUGGUCCUCAGGAAGUAUCCUCUAGUGUUAGCUAUUGAAUACUGAAACCACAGAUGCUCAGAAGACAUCAAGAAUAAGGGCCAUGGAACUUGUGGCCAGGGACUAUUCCUGGAAGGAGAGACUCAAAGAGCAACUGGAUGCCAAGCUGGAGAGGAUAUAAAUGCCACCCCAGCUGCCCUGGAUCUGGAAUACCCAGGCAUCCAACAGGUUUCAAUCCCUGUCUUUUGGACAAAACCUCCCAGAUGGUCUCCUUGUAAGUUGAGUUUCCAGGGCAAGAGUGGCUGUAUGGGCUAACCUUCCUGCCUCCACUCCUAUUUCUUAGGAGGAAAUCGAGAUUCAGUGAGAAGUUAUUUGAUCUCACUUCCUUUUCUUCUCUAGAGACCAGUCCUCCAUCACUCUCUGCCGAAUGCUCUCAGCAUCUCCCUCACUGCCUCCUUCUCUCCUGUCCUCAGCCUUCAGCCUGGGCCUUCAAGACUACGCAUGAUGGAAGGCAUGCCUUUUCCUGAGUAAACCAUGGUGACAAUCAGCAGGGAUGAACGAGCCAUGUCAACAUAAUCUUGUGUAACCGGACUUGGGCCUCUCCCUAUUCAUUUUUAGAGCCCGCCUCCACACUUGUGCUUGACCUCACUGCUCCCAUUUUCCUUGAGAACUCUGCCAGGCAUU
ensembl:lncRNA